rnacentral:lncRNA from 1 species
AUGGCAGCAGCUGGGCCAUCUGCUGGCUCAGGCCCCCUGCAGCCCGUCAUGCCAACUGUAGAUCCAUUUGAAGACAUUAGUAUAAGGACUCAGAGGUUGGUUGAUUUGUUUGCAGUGGAUCCUGGCUGUGAUAAGGAAGUGUUAGCCCUCUCAGGCAGAUUUCUUGGAGACAAUAAAACUCCUGGGGAAACUACAGAAGAGACAUUGACUAGUAUUCUGGAUGUUACUGCCCUGGAUUGCAUUUACAUUGCUGCUGCUGGAGACAAGCAUGAGUCAGCCAGAGGGUGCAAACCUAGUGGUCACAGAGGCUGGAAAGCAAUGUGGACUGUGCUGCUGAGUCAAUGGGUUCCGUGGUACAAGCAAAAGGAUCUCAUCACCCAAGACAGAAUACUGGGUGGGAUGAAAACAUUCAAAGCUCAUGGCUGAACCAAAGGUGCUGCCACACCGCUCAAAAGUGAAGGAUGCCUGCCACAGCACAACUUGACAGGUGGUGCAUAGAUCUGCACCCGGGAUCCAAAUCUGCGAACCCUGAGCCGCCAAAGUGGAAUGUGUGAACUUA